rnacentral:rRNA from 1 species
AUGCUUUUCCGAGGUGAACGAGCUGAUCAAGAGUCUUGCCAUGUGUGUGGCAGCUCGCGUUGGGUUACAAAUGAGAAGAAAGACUCCCAAGCUGAAUCUGUAUCUAAGCAGAAGAAGAAACCAGCCAAGGUGUUGCAUUACUUUCCUUUGAUACCGAGGAUUCAAAGGCUCUUUGCAACAAGAAAAACAUCAGAUGACAUGCGUUGGCACGAUGAGGGUUGUACUAAAGAUGGAAAGAUACGGCAUCCAGCUGAUGGCGAGUGUUGGAAAGAUCUUGAUGCUAGAUACCCCAGUUUUGCUGCUGAUCCUCGUAAUCCGUGCCUUGGCAUUUCGAGUGAUGGAUUUAACCCUUUUCGGAGUAUGAGUUCAAAACAUAGUACUUGGCCAGUGAUGCUUAUCCCGUACAACCUACCGCCUUGGAUUUGCAUGAAAGAAACAUCUCUAAUUUUAUCGAUGAUCAUUCCUGGACCAGCUUCCCCUGGGAAUGACAUUGAUAUAUAUUUGCAGCCACUGAUUGAUGAGCUCUUACAGUUAUGGGAUGGUGUAGACACAUUUGACGCUUCCUCGCAGGAGAUAUUUCCACUCAAGGCUGCACUAUUAUGGACUUUAAAUGAUUUUCCAGCAUUAGCUUACCUGUAUGGUUGGAGCACAAGUGGUAAAUAUGGGUGUCCAUCAUGUGGUCCUUCUACAAGAUCAUUUCGCCUGAAUAAGAGUAUGAAACUUUGUUAUAUGGGUCACCAUCGCUGGUUACCACAGGGUCAUGUAUUUCGAAACCGAAGAAGGCGGGAAUUUGAUGGCACUAAAGAUACAUAA